rnacentral:rRNA from 1 species
AAAACAAACCUACGGGAGGCAGCAGUCGAGAAUAAUUCACAAUGGACGAAAGUCUGAUGGUGCAACGCCGCGUGGAGGAUGACGGUCUUCGGAUUGUAAACUCCUGUCAUCCGGGAGUAAGACCUGGCUGUGAAUAGCAGACAGGGUUGAUAGUACCGGAAGAGGAAGGGACGGCUAACUUCGUGCCAGCAGCCGCGGUAAUACGAAGGUCCCGAGCGUUGUUCGGAAUCACUGGGCGUAAAGGGAGCGUAGGCGGCGCGGUAAGUCAGAUGUGAAAUCCCGGGGCUCAACCCCGGAACUGCAUCCGAUACUGCCGUGCUAGAGGAUUGGAGAGGUAGCU